rnacentral:rRNA from 1 species
CCUACGGGCGGCAGCAGUGGGGGAUAUUGCACAAUGGAGGGAACUCUGAUGCAGCGACGCCGCGUGAGUGAAGAAGUACUUCGUUUUGUAAAGCUCUAUCAGCAGGGAAGAAAGUGACGGUACCUGAAGAGGAAGCUCCGGCUAAAUACGUGCCAGCAGCCGCGGUAAUACGUAUGGAGCAAGCGUUUUCCGGAUUUACUGGGUGUAAAGGGAGCGUAGGUGGCAGAGCAAGUCCGAAGUGAAAUCCCAAAGCUUAACUUGGGGGAUGCUUUAGAAACUUCUUAGCUAGAGUGCAGGAGAGGCAAGUGGAAUUCCUAGUGUAGCGGUGAAAUGCGUAGAUAUUAGGAGUAACACCAGUGGCGAAGGCGGCCUGCUGGACUGUAACUGACGCUGAGGCUCGAAAGCGUGGGGAGCAAACAGGAUUAGAUACCCGAGUAGUC